UUUCUAGGGCUGUGCCCGCAGCAUAUGGAGAUUCCCAGGCUAGGGGUCGAAUUGGAGCUAUAGCUGCCGGCAGCAACACCAGAUCCAGGCCUCAUCUGCAACCUAUGCUACAGCUCGUGGCAACGCCCCCUGAGUGAGGCCAGGGAUCGAACCCGUGUCCUCAUGGAUACUAGUCAGGUUCGUUAACCACUGAGCCACGACAGGAACUCCAGAAUCUAACUGUCUUAGAAACAUAUGAAACAGCCUCACUGAAGGGCCUGUUUGGACGCAAGACACACUGGAAAUGUGUGCAGUUGGCAAGACUAAGAGAAAAGCGCUGUACUCUAGUGGAUAAAACUGUUUCCUGGGGGAACAUGUGUUAAUAAAUUCUAGAACCACUCUGCACGCAUCCUGGAAUUGAACCAUUAAGUAAAUAAGUGGCAGGUGCUGAGAGCCAGGUUGCUCGCUGUCGGGAGUGGGAGGUUACAGAUAAACAAGGGCAAGAGGCAGAGAUGCUUGGUAAUGGACUGGGGCUGGGACAUCAAUAUAAAUUUGCAUGUAGCUUAACACAGACGCGAAUGGUUCAUGGAGAGCUAGUAACAGAGCACCUUGCCUUGUGAGCUGAAAGCCCCUAGAAGUGAGGGCAUCGCAGUGGCUACGAUCACAUGUGAUCUUGAUUUUCUAACACCCUUUCCCAGGAAAAGAAUCAGCGCUCCUUGGAGAAAUGGCAGAUGGUAGAACUGGGGCAAGACAUACAAGAUGAGCCUGGAGCAGCCUGCAGAGCCGGAAAGUAAGCAGUAUAUGACAUGCACACACGGUGGCAGGUGUAUGACCAAAGGACACAGGAGCCAACUGAAAGAGUUCCCAAUGGCCAAAGCGCGAACAAUUUGAACUACACAAUAAAGGAGCAUUGAGUUAUUAGAGAAAGGCAAGUCAAAACUAGAGUGAGAUAUCGCUUCACACUGGUCAGAAUGGCCACCAUUAAAAAGUCUACAAAUAACAGAUGCUGGAGAGGGUGUGGAGAAAAGGGAACCUUCCUACACUGCUGGUGGGAAUGUGAAUUGGAGCAGCCCCUAUGGAAAACAGUAGGAGGGUUAUCAACAAAAAAAGAGCUAUCACCUGAUCCAGCAAUCCCACUCCUGGGCAUAUAUCGGGAGAAGACCAUAAUUUUAUUUUAUUAUUUUUUUUGUCUUUUUGCCUUUUCUAGNGGCUGCUCCCACGGCAUGUGGAGGCUCCCAGGCUAGGGGUCUAAUCGGAGCUGUAGCCACCAGCCUACGCCAGAGCCACAGCAACGCAUGAUCUGAGUCACGUCUACAACCUACACCACAGUUCAGGACAACGCCGGAUCCUUAUCCCACUGAGCAAGGCCAGGGAUCGAACCCACAACCUCAUGGUUCCUAGUCGGAUUCGUUAACCACUGAGCCACGACGGGAACUCGGAGAAGAUCAUAAUUUGAAAAGGUACACACGCUUCUAUGUUCAGCGCAGCACUAUUUACAGAUCCAAGACAAGGAAGCAAUCUAAAUGCCCAUCAACAGAGGAAUGGGUAAAGAAGACGUGAGAUAUAUAUAUAUGUAUAUAUGAUGGACUAUUACUCAGCCAUAAAAAGAAUGAAAUAAUGCUUUUGGGAGCAACAUAAAUGGACCUAGAGAUUAUCAUACUCGCUAAGGCAGGUGGAGAAAGAAAAAUACCAUACGACGAUACUUACACGUGGAAUCCAAACUACGGUACAAAUGAACUUAGUUGCAAAACAGAAACAGGCCUGCGGACGUAGAAAACGUAUUUAUGUCACCCUAUGGGGAAAGAGGGGAGGGAGGGCAAGUUGGGAGUUUGGGAUGAGCAGAUACCAACUACGCUACCUAAGCUAGAUGAACACUAAGAUCCUGUCGUAUAGCACAGGGAGCAACAUUCAACACCCCUGUAAUAAACCAUUAUGGAAAAGGAUAUUAACAUACUUAUCGAAUGGCUUUGCUGUAUACCUGAAAUGAACACACUAUAAAUCAAGUCUACGUCAGUAAGAAUAAAGCGGCAUUGGAUUACAGCCCAACAUCUUAAAGAAAUGUCCAUGAGUCCAUUCUGACAUAAAUAAAUGAGUAAAUAAACAAAGACGAGGCAAACCUCCCAAGCAGAAGACGUGUGUGUAUGUGUGUGUGUGUCUUUUUAGGGCCACACCCGUGGCAUAGGGAGGUUCCCAGGGUAGAGGGAGAAUCAGAGCUGUAGCUGCUGGCCUACACCACAGCCGCCUGGGAUCUGAGCCAUAUCUGUGAUCUACACCGCAGCUCAUGGCAACGCCAGGGCCUUAACCCACUGAGCGAGACCAGGGAUCCAACCCACGUCCUCAGAGAAACUAGUUGGGUUCGUAACUGCUGAGCCAUGCCGGGAACUCCCAGAAGAUUUAAGUAAUAUAGGCGGACACCCCGCCCUCAGGGACAACUCCCCAUCCCCCAAGUGUGGGUGGCGCAGUGACCUCCUUCCAAAGAUGAUAGCAUGGAAGGGGCGGGGUGGGGGGAAGAGGGACCCCGGGAAGGAGAAUCCAGACAAACACUCCCCAGUGGCAUAAUCAAAGUCAACACCAGCAGGGAGGCGGCUCGGGGAGAGGGCCGAGAAGAAAUGGCACCUCACCCUGUGUUCUCCGUUGUCAGCCCACACCCCGAGUCGAAUCGUGAGAAAGACAUCGGGCAAAUCCCAGCUGAGCCAUGUUACACAGAACACCUGGCAGUGCUCUUCAAACUGCCAACAUUGUCAAGGAGCAAGCCUGUCCCAGCCAAGAGGAGCCAGAGGAGACGUGACCGCUGAGUCCGACACGGUGGCCUUGAUGCGCUCUUGCAACAGAAAAAAGGCAUCAGGGGAAAAACGAGCAAGUCUAAAUAACAACAAAGCUUAUUUGAUUUAUUUUUGCUUUUUUGGUUGCACCUGAAGCACAUAGAAGGGUCCCAGGCCAGGGAUUGAAUCCGAGUGGCACCUGUGACUUACAGCACAGCUGCAGCAAUGCCAGAUCCUUAACUGACAGGGAUCAAACCUCCACAGAGACAAGCCGGUUCAUUAACCCACUGCACUACAGCGGGAACUCCCUAAACUUUAUUAAUUUUUUUAGGGCCACACCUGCGGCAUACGGGGGUUCCCAAGCUAGGGGUGGAAUCGGAGCUGCAGCUGCCGGCCUGCACCACAGCUCAUGGCAACGCCAGAUCCUUAACCCACUGAGCAAGGCCAGGGAUCAAACCCGCAACCGCAUGGUUCCUAGUCAGAUUCCUUAACCGCUGAGCUAUAAUGGGAACUCCCCUUAAAAUUUAUUUUUUAAAAAUACACAACAGCAUAUAAACUGUAUGGGUCCACUUACAUGUAGUUCAAGAAUAGGCAAGACGAAUCAAUGGUGUUAGUGGUUGGAAUAUGGUUACUUGGGGGGGGGGACAGGGAAGCCUGCUGGGGGGGCCACAAGUGGGGGUUCUACACCUGGACUGGAACAGUGGUUGUGAGGCAGAAUAUUAACUCAGGUAGAUCAGCACAGGAGCUGGGCUCCCAACAGGCUUUGACGUGGAUAUUGAUUAACACUUGCAGCUUAAGGGCUCCAGGGAGUAACACCUCCCCAGGCCUUGUUCUAUUAUAGGAAAUGCGCGCGUUCCCCAGACUUUGUUCACUGCAGGAAAUGCGGCUCUCGAGCCCACUCCUCAACUGAUAAAAAGAAAUAAGAGAAGAAAAUGACCGAGAAACCAUAAAACUUACAGGACAUUUCCAACCCUAAGACCCCUAUUGGACAAGGACGGAUAUAGGUGAUGGAGCAAGGCCAACGGGAGAAGACCGCAUCUUUCCGGACCCCACGUUGGUACCCGCCCAUCUUUAAGGAAUAAAAGCCCCUAAAGGACAAUAGGGAAGGGGGCUCUUCUCCCCCCUCCCAGCAGCCCCGGGAGCUAUUUGCUUUCCUUUAAUAAAGACUUUGCCUGCUUGCUGCCCGUGUGUUUGCGGAGUUCAUUCUUCGACUGCGUGAACAAGAACCCGGAUUCCGGGAUCGUCUUUCCGGUAUCAGUUUACACAGGUGUCUACAGCGUGAAAAUUCUUGGAGCUGUUUUCCUCAAGUGUGUGCAGUCACCAUGUUACAUUUUACUUAAAAAGCGACCCCCAAAGUCAACAGCAACAGCAGCAAAACAGCUGCACCUCACCAUUUAGAAAAGCCUGGAGAAAUUUCUGAAAACCCCCAAUGAAGAGAAACAUCUCAAAAGCUUCCAGGAAGAGACAGAAAAGAAACCACUGGUGAAGGAGCAGGAGUCAGCCUGAGCGCAGGCUUCUCGACUGCACCGGGCAAGGAAGACGGGAGCGGGCUGCCAGGCCCACCACACUCUGCCACCUCGGUGUACCCCCAGCCCACCCUGUGCCCCCAGAGCAGGUCUGCCCACUCAGCUCCAGCUGAUCCCGCUGUCGCCCCACCCUCUCCCCACAUCCCCAAAUCUCUUACCUGACGCCUCCUUCAUCUCUCCCCAACCCCUCCCAGGCCAAGCCCAAGUGCAGGCUCCUCCCAGAGGCUUCGGGACCUGAGAGCCUGGGCAAGAGGCUCUGUCCUCCACCGUCUCUGCCAGGCACUGGUCACGCCCUGAGAGAGAAGAAGCCUUGCGCUCUUUUGCAUUAAUCACUAAAGGGAUGUUGCCUAUAAGCGAGCGUAAAUUACACAUAAUGGACCAUGUCUGCGAACCCUGCUUCCCGGAAAUGAAUGUUAAGCUAAAGCACCUUUGUUCUGCUCACAGGGAACACCCUGACCCGGCCCACCUGUGAACUGCUGCAGCAGGAAGAACCAAACACAUCCUCCGAGCUCCCUUGCGGCACAGCGGAAAUGAAUCCAACUAGGAGCCAUGAGGUUGUGGGUUUGAUUCCUGGCCUCCAUCAGUGGGUUAAGGAUCCAGCAUUGCUGUGAGCUGUGGCGUGGGUCACAGAUGUGGCUCGGAUCCUGCAUGGCUGUGGCUGGGGGGUAGGGUGGCAGCUGUAGCUCCAAUCAGACUCCUAGCCUGGGAACCUCCAUAUGCCGUGGGUGUGGCCCUAAAAAGCAAAAAAAAAAAAAAAAAGAAAGAAAGAAACAAACACAUCCUGGCCUGAACCCAGACUCCUCCUCUCCCGCCUCAGUGUAGACACAGCCUGAAUUCCAGCUCAGAGAAGACGCUUCUCAGGACACCUGUCGACCAUUUUCUCGGUCAGCUGGCUUUCUGAGUAAACUCCCUCUUUCUUCCCCAACAACACGUCUCUCGAUUUACCGGCCUGUCACGCCGUAACAACUGCCUCCACGAUCAGAUCACUGUCUUUCCCGUUCUGCCCCAGCGGCAGCACAGCCUCGAGACACAGACCCAGCUGGGAUGGCAGCUCUGCUGCUCACUGCUGGUGGGUGACCUUGGAUGAGCCGUCUCGCCCCCCGGGCCUGGGUUCCCACCCCUGUAAAGUGGAGACAGUUACUCUAAUUCCCAGGGUGGCUGUAAGCAGGAGCCUGUGUGAGCGGCACCCAAGAGCUCGCCUGGCACAUAGUAGGCCCUCAGUCAAGGACACUUGUCAGCUGGGAGAACUGGGCUGCUGACAGGAUUGGUGGAAGCCUCGGGGGCCCUUGGCCAGCCCCAGAGCACGUGUUAUUUAAUUCCUGACUCCUUUGAGUAAGUCAUUUUCAAAUAUAUGGCUUAAGGAGAAAAUUAAAGUCAACCGGAGAGAGAGUCCCAUUGUGGCUCUGCGGUAACAAAACUGACUAGUGUCCAUGAGGACGCGGGUUCAAUCCCUGGCCUCGCUCAGUGGGUUAAGGAUCUGGCGUUGCCAUGAGCUGUGGUGUAAGUUGCAGAUGCAGCUCAGAUCUGGCGUGGCUGUGGCUGUGGCUGUGGCUCUGGUGUAGGCCGGCAGCUGCAGCUCUGAUUUGACCCCAGCCUGGAAACCUCCAUAUGCUGCAAGUAUGGCCCUAAAAAACAAACAAACAAAAAAACCAACUGGAGAAACCCGCCCUGACUCGGCAGUGGGGAGCGUCUUAACCACACACAUGGACGCAAUCGGGUGUGAGUGGUGGAUGUUCAGAGCAUGGGAGGUGGGGUCAGCCCCAUGGGCAGGAGCCAACUCCGAGCCAGAAGUCAGACCCUUCUCCAGACGACACCAGCACCUCUCUUGGGCCAACAGUCAGCAGGGCGCCCCUCUCCCAUUUGGCGGUGGAGGCGUCAGAGGCUCAGCAGGACGGGAGGCCAGAGUUCCAGCCCCUGGCCUAUCUGGCUUGCUCCAUGGGACUGGGGCUUCCAAUUCAAAGUUCUGGAAGGUUCUAGGUCUCCAGGGCCCAAUCCCCAGCCCAGGCCCGGUGUGAGAGUGUGGUAGCCACGCACAGGGGCUGGCACAUGGCAAGCUCCGUCCUCUCCCGUGUCCGUCCACACCUGUCUAGGGGGCCUGUCAAGGUUCACCUGCUCAGGGCCUGCUCUGGACCUGACGGCCUACAGAGCCAUGUUCGGAAGCUUGGAUCUUGUUCAGGGUGUGAGGCCUCUACCUGCCUCCUCUGCCAGCUCUGCUCACUGGAAACACCUGAGCUGGGGACCUGGCGCCGGUCCGUGGAUGGAGGAGACAGGUGGGGGAGAUGCUGGCAGGAUGGCAGGAAGCUCAGCUUCCCCCCACAACACACACACACACACACACACAGACACACACCAUGGAAAUCAGUGUCAACCAGUCAGGGCUCCUGGGAACUCUGUUGGGGCUAGGGUCCCCCUGCAUGGGGGUACAGUGACUUUGAAGAGGAGACCUCCCCAGAAUUCAACAGAAUGGGGGGCAAUGGUAAUGGUGCACCUGCAGGUCCACAGGCCCCACGUGUUCAGAGACACCCAAAUGCCCGGGUGUGGGAGAGCCCUGCCCUUAGGGGGUCUCUCUGGGGUUUAUUUUCCGCUUAACAUGGUUGAUUUUCCCGGGCUAAUAUUCGUGGCCCAUGCAAAUCGCAAGAGUCCCAAAGUCCUCAGACAAGAAGGUCAAGGGUGGGCCCCCGUCCAGCCACUGGCUUCUGACUUCUCUGCUCCUUGGCUUUGCCCUCACCCCCUGGGCAACUUACGGAAUCCCAAGCGGCAGGGGACACCACACCCCAUCACCACCAGCACAACAGCCCUGGCAGUGUGUCAUCAGCCCUGGAGAGCACAGACGCAGCCACUUUGCACGUAUCAGCUGGCCUCACCCACAGCGCAGAAGAUGGGAUGGAAACGUGAAAUACCUGUUGAAAUGCAGGAGGCGGGCCAGAAAAGGCGGCAGGGUUUCUUCUGCAAAACCUGUAAAAAUAAAACGUACGCAGAUUCACCACCAGAGCUGUGUCUGCCUAAAGACACCUACACCAGAGUAUGGUGACGAAGCUCUUUACGCGUCACAAGGGUUCCCAUGUGCGGGAAUUCCCACUGUGGCACAAGGGGAUGGCAGUAUCUCUCUGCUGCUGGGAUGCAGGUUGGAUCCCCAGCCCGGCAUAGAGGGUGAAGGAUCCGGCGUUUCCCCCGCUGCAGCCCAUGUAGCAACUUUGGUUCGGAUCUGAUCCCUGGCCCAGGAGCUCCAUAUGCUGUGGGGCGACCAAAAAGGGAGAAAAAAAAAAUGUUCCCAUGUAUCUGCGCGCCCCCCUGUGUCUGUGUGUCCGUGUGACUGUGAGUGCAUCUGUGUGUGUGGCAUCUUGCUCUGUGUGUGUGAGCGUGUGUCCCUGCCUAAGCAAAUGCUGUGGAGAAGUCCUUGGAAGGGUGCUCCCAAAGAAGAGGGGGCAGGGAUUACUUCUGGGGGGAGAGGCUGUGGGACCAAGCAGCGACACCUGCUCCUUUAGCCCAUUGUGCUGGGCCAGGCUCGAACCUGAGUCCGGUGCAAAGACAACCCUUCUGCCAAUCAGGAAUCCCAGAAUCCCCUUCCGCCACAGCAGGAAUUCCCAGGGCUGUUAUUUUAAUGCUUCUGCCCGGUUCGAGGUUUACAAGCCUAGAUCCUUUAAAAGAAUGCCAUCGAGCCAUCAGCCCCUGCAGCCCCCCACUACUGUGUGCCCUGAGGGGAAUUUGGGAUGAGGGAGGGGGGCCUGGAUGCUGACACUAGGCAGUUAAGAUGCAGAUCAAAGAAACGAUUUUAAGGAGCCCAGACUCUCCCGUCUUCCUUUAGUGCCACAGAAAAGCACUAAAAUCAUUAACUUGAGAUGCCUGGGUUUUGUAAUUAGCAGUCAUCUUUUGAUGUUCAACUACAGGGGGAUUUUUUUUUUUUUUUUUUUUUUUUUCAGCAAAAACUCCUGCCUAUCCUGCCCCUUG
rnacentral:lncRNA from 1 species